rnacentral:lncRNA from 1 species
CUAAUUCCCUUGGGAGAACAUGAAAGUCAACCCUGAAACAUCAACAGGACGUCUAAGGAAAAGGAAUGAUGGUUUCAAAGAAGAUUUACAUUUCCCUAUAGACUUGAUCAAAGUACUGGGGAGAGCAACUCUGAAGAGAAAAGAUGACUAUGACUUCAUAUGCAUAAAAUAUAUUUUCUAUGAAAUGUUUCAUAGUUUACUGUAACAUCAAAAUUAUUCAUCCAUGCAAAAAGGAUACAAUAGUGAUACCGUAUGUAAGAUGUUCUGUAUAGCUCUAACAAGGGAAAACUGUUUGAGAGAUAAGGAUACUAUUAGAAAGAAUGCAGAAAUUACAGUAUAUCUGUGUUAUAGAUAUGGAGGGGAAAUUGUAUAGAAAGAAAGAUUCUAAUAACUGGACUCAGCUGGACUUCUUUAUUCUGGACAUUUUGGUGUAUAUGCCUUAAUAGACAUAUUUCUUGGCUAAAUUGUACCUAUAACCAGACAAAAUGAAUUCAUCCUGCAGUUUGGCCUUUGCAUUUGAAUUUAGCAGAAGGCCAUAUAAAAUUCAUACCAACAAAUCAACGCAAGAUCAAAAUCUCAUUUCUCACUUCUCUCAGUGCUAUUGUUAGAAUCUUAACAAGCAACUGUUUGAUAUUAUUGUUUUGUUUUUACAGAUAUCUAUACUAUUUUACUAUUUUAUAAUAUGUAGUAAAAGAAAUUCCCUACUAGAAUUCCAGGUCUUGGGUGUGUCUGGCACUUACUUUAUCUUCUCUGAAGGUCUUCUCAAGGGCUGUGUCUGAUUGAUAGGUUGCCGCCCUUAAUGAACUGAACAUGAGGCACAUCUUCCUCCCUGUGCACAUUCUCUUCUUUCAACAUAUGCUUGCUCUGGGGUAGUUAUUUGGCAAGAGUAAAACAGCUGAAAUGAAAGAAUAACUUGUAAAAAUUUUGAAGCCUCAGCUUAACACUUUUUGUUAGCAAUAACAGUUGAACAUGAUAAAAACUGUUUGAACUAAGUGGAACAUCAAGUAUUUUAGCAAAAAAAAUAAUCACAUGGAUGUUGAUCCAUAUUAGCUUUUAUACAUUGACCAGGUUAAUCCAGAGCAAACUAAUGAAACUAGUGUGACAGGAAUAUUUGGGAAAAUGUUCUUAAUUAAACAAAUUUCGUGAAAACAAUAUAACCAGCAGUGUUAUUUUUAAACAGUCGUAUUUGCACAAAAGUAUUAGCACCACAUGCUGUCAAAGAAAAUAUCUUGGAAGGUAAUCAGAGAAAAAUAGAAUUUAAAAGAUAUAAUUAUCUAUCUAUUAAAAUACAUAUCUGUAGGCCCCAAAAUGUAAGUAGAGAGUAGCUAAAGCUGAAGAAAAACAAAACUGAAGCUUUACAGGAAUUAAACAGUCAAUACAUCUAUCUGUCUCUUUAACUCAAUCAAUAUCACAGUCAUUUUUCAUAUAUGUCAUAACUUUCAAACCUUUUUUAGAGACCCCAAAUCUUUGGGUCACUUUCAUUUUGGUAACGUCUAUCAGAUGUGGAGUCUUGAGGGAAAGAUAAGGCAUAGAACUUAUGAGCAUAUCACAUUUAUUAGCUAGUGCACGCAGACGUGAGCUAGGACAAGUAUGUUAUUGGGAAAAGCUAUGGCUUGCCCUUGGACAGAUGAAGAUAUGAGUAAGAUAUAGACUAAGAUACAUUCACAGUACUGGGGUACAGUCACCUGAUGAGUGUCUGUAAGCCAGAUGUCCGUCAGUGAAGUGCAGAAGUAUUACAUUCUGCUGUUCCUUAAAACAACUGAUCCUCAAUAUUGCUGAUUUACUAUCCUCUGAAUCAAUCCUUUUUCUUUCAGAUUCUCUUGCUGGUGUUUUUCUUCUGAAAUAUAAACUAUCAUUAUUAACACAGCAAUCUCGCUUCUUUGUUUCCACCUUUUUAUUAUGCACAAUUUAUAAUCCUAUAUGCUGUCUCACAGAUUAAGAGAAAAAGCUGCUGCUCAGUGCUAGCUGCACCUCCUUCACGCAGCUGAGCCUUCCAAAAGGUGAUCUGAGCCUUCUCUAGGUGAUCCUGAUCGGCAGUUUGGUUGGACUUGAUGAUCUUCUGUGGUCCCUUCCAACCUCGGCCAUUCUGUGAAAAGUGGUGCUAGGUCACAUUGCUGGUUAUGUAAGUCUAAUGACACAUGGAAGUGGAGAAUGUCCAUCUGCAGUUGACCAAGAUGUUAUAUUCCCUCUAACACGUUUGUUACCUGUGGGCUUGGUGUCUGAAAUUUAUAUUUAGAGAUGAAACCUUAUUCCAGCUAUGUACAUUGACCCCAUACUGAUCUCCAUGAGCAGAGGGUCUGUGCUGGUUUUCAGAGAUUAUUGAUAAUCAUGAUAUUGAUAAUUGGUCAUUUUCAGACUUUAUUUAUAGUCUACCGCAGCAAUCACUGCCUGCAGGCAUGACCAAGAUGCUCAUCAGUUGUAAAAUAUUCCUACAUUCAGCUGUCCUUGUUUGCAGAUGUGCUGCACGGCUGUUUAGAGCAAUGACUCAGUAUCUGUCAACUAUCAGGACACCGUUAUUUUACCCACCAAACUCGAAAGAGAGGCAAAAGUUUUAGGUGCUUCAGCAUGAACAGGUGAAUCUGUGGUAGUCUUCCUUACAAAAAUUGCACUCAUGUAGUAAACCAAACUUGUCUUUCCAAGGGGCACUUUGUCAAUGGCAUGAUGACACUAAUCUUCUGCUUAGUUCAAUGUUUUAAAGUUUAAAUUCUUUCCUAAGUACAAAGAUUGAAAGACCUAAAGCUAGAUCUCAUCCUAGAUGUGAACUCCUUAGUGUCGGUGAGGGUUUGUACGUUUUAUGAAGUUUUGAUAAAGUCAGAAAAAGGAAGAGUCUCUGUAGAAUGGUCACAUCAUUGUGAACAUUCUGUUGUUGACUUUUUUGUUCCCCCCUGUUUUUACCAUUAGCACUGGAAUGCCUCAAAAAUGGGAAGGAAAGAUCUGCUAACUGUCAACAACUAUUUAAAGACUCCUUCUGCAUGGAUCAUUUGUACAGCUAUUAGAGCAGGUUUUUCAUUUAACUCCAUAUUGAGAUGACUGCCUAACAUGACUAUUAGCUCAGGAUUUGCUCCCUUAAGUGUUCACUUUGGAUUGCUUAAAAACAAUUUACAAAAAAUAUGACUGUAUUUGAUAGGAAAACCAAAAACAAAACUAAACUAAACUAAAAACUAAUUGGAGAAUCUCAGAAGGGGAAACUAAAAUCACAUGAGAUUUUUCCUUCAGUACUUCUAUAAGAUCCUCAAAUGAAAGUUGGCCCCAAAAGACAAUUUCCUCCUUUGCCAUGGAUGUUUUCCAUCCACGUUCUAGUUUUCCUUAUUAAUGUCCUAAAAUUCCUACUGUGAAGCAUUUGCCCUGUUCUGUCUCCUAGAACUGACAGAAAACUUGCUGUUUUUUUCUUCUUUUUGGCAGGCUCAUUUUCUUUAAAAACCCAACAGGUCACCUAAGGAAUUUUAGUUAUCCCCUGAUAAAAUACUUUUUUUUCUUUUUCCUUCAAACUGCACUUGUUCUUUGGUUCAGAACAGUGACUUAUCUACAUUGCUAUUGACAGUUGUAUUUAUUAGUUUUGUUUUCUUGGCUGUAAGUCAAUUUUGAUGGUUACAGUCAGAAACUUAUCAGUAAUUGAUAUGAUACUACUCUUUUUUUUUUUUUUUUUUUUUGAGCACAGGAGAUGAAAAGUUUUUAGAGAUGUCUUGACACCUCUACACUCUUUUUUCCAGUAUAAAUGUAGACAUAGUUUGCCACCUUGUGGCAAAUGUACUUUUGUAAACUGCAAUAUUGCCAUAAAUUGCCAUAAAAACUGCAUCUAUUGCCAUAAAUCAUAUCUGACUGUAAUUAUUGUCUCUAAUCUAAGUCUAUAGUUGAAGACAAUAGUCUUGAAAACAUUGACUGUCUUGUUUAGAAACCAAAAUACAUGAAAAAUUUAUUUUUCUAAGUAACAUCUCAAUUUAACUGCUAUUUGUAGCCAAGAAAAAACAUUUAAGCAUUGUUCAUGCUAGCCUUGGAAGUAAUAUAAUUGAUGCAGACUGUUGACAGCUAACUUACUAAAAGCAAGAUCUUUCAUGUGUAAAGGUGUAGUCUCAUUAAGGGAUUUUCUUUUUCUUCCCUGGAGACCAGUGUUUAUGGUUAAACUACCACAAAAAACAAGGUAUUACAAGUAGCUGAUGUUUCAGUUUGUCAGUGAAACCACACGUAAACAUUGGAAAAUUGGACUGGGUCAACCAGAAAUAAAAAUAUUGCAGAAUUAUUUUCUGUACUUUAC